rnacentral:rRNA from 1 species
CUAAACCACAGAACAUCUGACCAAAAAUGAUCCGGCUAAUAAAACCGAUCAACGGACCAAGUUACCCUAGGGAUAACAGCGCAAUCCUCUCCCAGAGUCCAUAUCGACGAGGGGGUUUACGACCUCGAUGUUGGAUCAGGACAUCCUAAUGGUGCAGCCGCGAAUAUACUUCAGCUCGUCGUAUCA